rnacentral:tRNA from 1 species
AUUAGGUUAUCUAUUAAGCAUGGCACUGAAGAUGCCAAGACGGUUGCCCUCAUCAUACCCAGGGACA